CCGCACGGGUGAGUAACACGUAUCCAACCUGCCGUCUACUCUUGGCCAGCCUUCUGAAAGGAAGAUUAAUCCAGGAUGGCAUCAUGAGUUCACAUGUCCGCAUGAUUAAAGGUAUUUUCCGGUAGACGAUGGGGAUGCGUUCCAUUAGAUAGUAGGCGGGGUAACGGCCCACCUAGUCAACGAUGGAUAGGGGUUCUGGGAGGAAGGUCCCCCACAUUGGAACUGAGACACGGUCCAA
rnacentral:rRNA from 1 species